UACGAAGGGGGCUAGCGUUGCUCGGAAUCACUGGGCGUAAAGCGCACGUAGGCGGAUCCUUAAGUCGGGGGUGAAAUCCUGGAGCUCAACUCCAGAACUGCCUUCGAUACUGGGAGUCUCGAGUUCGGGAGAGGUGAGUGGAACUGCGAGUGUAGAGGUGAAAUUCGUAGAUAUUCGCAAGAACACCAGUGGCGAAGGCGGC
rnacentral:rRNA from 1 species